UCGGAACGUACCCUGGAGUGGGGGAUAACGUAGCGAAAGUUACGCUAAUACCGCAUACGAUCUAAGGAUGAAAGUGGGGGAUCGCAAGACCUCAUGCUCCUGGAGCGGCCGAUAUCUGAUUAGCUAGUUGGUAGGGUAAAAGCCUACCAAGGCAUCUAUCAGUAGCUGGUCUGAGAGGACGACCAGCCACACUGGAACUGAGACACGGUCCAGACUCCUACGGGAGGCAGCAGUGGGGAAUUUUGGACAAUGGGCGCAAGCCUGAUCCAGCAAUGCCGCGUGAGUGAAGAAGGCCUUCGGGUUGUAAAGCUCUUUGUCAGGGAAGAAACGGUGAGAGCUAAUAUCUCUUGCUAAUGACGGUACCUGAAGAAUAAGCACCGGCUAACUACGUGCCAGCAGCCGCGGUAAUACGUAGGGUGCAAGCGUUAAUCGGAAUUACUGGGCGUAAAGCGUGCGCAGGCGGUUUUGUAAGUUUGUCGUGAAAUCCCCGGGCUCAACCUGGGAAUGGCGAUGAAGACUGCAAGGCUAGAGUUUGGCAGAGGGGGGUAGAAUUCCACGUGUAGCAGUGAAAUGCGUAGAUAUGUGGAGGAACACCGAUGGCGAAGGCAGCCCCCUGGGUCAAAACUGACGCUCAUGCACGAAAGCGUGGGGAGCAAACAGGAUUAGAUACCCUGGUAGUCCACGCCCUAAACGAUGUCUACUAGUUGUCGGGUCUUAAUUGACUUGGUAACGCAGCUAACGCGUGAAGUAGACCGCCUGGGGAGUACGGUCGCAAGAUUAAAACUCAAAGGAAUUGACGGGGACCCGCACAAGCGGUGGAUGAUGUGGAUUAAUUCGAUGCAACGCGAAAAACCUUACCUACCCUUGACAUGGCUGGAAUCCUUGAGAGAUCAGGGAGUGCUCGAAAGAGAACCAGUACACAGGUGCUGCAUGGCUGUCGUCAGCUCGUGUCGUGAGAUGUUGGGUUAAGUCCCGCAACGAGCGCAACCCUUGUCAUUAGUUGCUACGAAAGGGCACUCUAAUGAGACUGCCGGUGACAAACCGGAGGAAGGUGGGGAUGACGUCAAGUCCUCAUGGCCCUUAUGGGUAGGGCUUCACACGUCAUACAAUGGUACAUACAGAGCGCCGCCAACCCGCGAGGGGGAGCUAAUCGCAGAAAGUGUAUCGUAGUCCGGAUUGUAGUCUGCAACUCGACUGCAUGAAGUUGGAAUCGCUAGUAAUCGCGGAUCAGCAUGUCGCGGUGAAUACGUUCCCGGGUCUUGUACACACCGCCCGUCACACCAUG
rnacentral:rRNA from 1 species